CAACACAUCCACACAAGCUCCCAACUUGAGAGUGUCGAUGGGACACGUGUUCUUUGGUGGUGAUGGGGUUGGCACUGGUGUUGGUGGUGGUGGAGGAGGACAUGGUGUCUCAGUGGGUGGAGGAGGCUUAACUGGUACAACUGGGGUAGGUGUAGGUGUUGGUGGGCUUGGUGGUACAACAGGUGGUGAUGGUGGUGGCUUAACUGGUACAACUGGGGUAGGUGUUGGUGUUGGUGGGCUUGGUGGUACAACAGGUGGUGAUGGUGGUGGCUUAACUGGUACAACUGGGGGCUUGGGUACAUAGGGUGGUGGGGGUUGUACAACUGGGGGCUUGGGUACAUAUGGUGGUGGUGGUUGUACAACUGGGGGUUUGGGGAUGAAGGGUGGGUGCACAAUUGGGGGUUUAGGGAUAAAAGGUGGGUGCACGAUUGGGGGCUUGGGGAUGAAGGGUGGGUGCACAAUUGGGGGCUUGGGGAUGAAGGGUGGGUGCACAAUUGGGGGUUUAGGGAUGAAGGGUGGGUGCACAAUUGGGGGUUUAGGGAUGAAGGGUGGGUGCACAAUUGGGGGUUUAGGGAUGAAGGGUGGGUGCACAAUUGGGGGCUUGGGGAUGAAGGGUGGGUGCACAAUUGGGGGCUUGGGGUGGGGUGGUGGUUUGACAAUAGGAGGCUUGGGGAUGAAGGGAGGUCUCACAAUAGGUGGUUUGGGGACAGAAGGAGGUUUUGGUAUAUGGGGAGGAUAUACAAUGGGGGGUUUGGGGCCAUGAGGUGGCUUGGGUACAUGGGGUGGAUGAGGAUGAGGUGGCUUUGAUGGUGGCUUGGGAACAUAGGGAGGCUUUACAUGAGGGGGAUGGGGUGGUUUUGAUGGUGGUUUGGGAACAUAGGGAGGCUUUACAUGAGGAGGAAGAGGUGGUUUUGAUGGUGGUUUGGGAACAGAGGGAGGCUUUACAUGAGGGGGAUGAGGUGGGUGUUUAGGUGGUUUAGGGAUGAAGGGUGGCUUUACAUGAGGAGGCUGUUUGGGUGGCAAGUGUGGAGGGUAUGUUGGUGGUGGACAGUAGGAGUUAGCAAGAGAAGUGAGCAAACUACCCAAAUUCACAAUGAGGACUAAGAGCAAAGCCAGGGUAUAAUUCCCCAUGUUCAAAACUCCACAACCCUCAAAAGAGUUGG
rnacentral:lncRNA from 1 species